AAGCUAGCCUUGCAUUACGGCCUCGUGUUGGUUACCUGCAAUCGAUACCGGUUCCAUUCAACCGAAAACAGUUAGUUAAGAGGUCAAGGUUGCUCCGCAUGCAAAAUUUAUCACUCGUAGCAAGCUGUCCACGAGAACAUGGAUAUUUCAUAGCUGUCCACGAGAACAUGGAUAUUUCAUAGCUGUCCAUGAGAACAUGUUUCCAGUUUCCAUUUAAUCAUCAAAAAACAAUUUCCACUAUUUUUAAUGAUUUUUUUUUAUAGUUAUUAUUUUUAUGUUUUUUCGGAACAAAAUAUGUCCGAUUUGCUUUAAAUUUUGUCAAAAUAAAAGGUAAAAACAAUAUUUUUGUGGUUGAUUUUAGUAAAUGUGUGUCUCUAGAACAUCUGUGUACAAUUUGAGUCUGUUCCAAAGUCAUUCAGUUAGUCAAAAUAUUAUUUUUUCAAUUUUGCCUGUUUUUGACGGAUUUUGGGAAAACGCUGCUUACGUAUGGGUAUAUAAAAUUA